UGGGGAAUUUUGGACAAUGGGCGAAAGCCUGAUCCAGCAAUGCCGCGUGUGUGAAGAAGGCCUUCGGGUUGUAAAGCACUUUUGUCCGGAAAGAAAUCCUUGGCUCUAAUACAGUCGGGGGAUGACGGUACCGGAAGAAUAAGCACCGGCUAACUACGUGCCAGCAGCCGCGGUAAUACGUAGGGUGCAAGCGUUAAUCGGAAUUACUGGGCGUAAAGCGUGCGCAGGCGGUUUGCUAAGACCGAUGUGAAAUCCCCGGGCUCAACCUGGGAACUGCAUUGGUGACUGGCAGGCUAGAGUAUGGCAGAGGGGGGUAGAAUUCCACGUGUAGCAGUGAAAUGCGUAGAGAUGUGGAGGAAUACCGAUGGCGAAGGCAGCCCCCUGGGCCAAUACUGACGCUCAUGCACGAAAGCGUGGGGAGCAAACAGGAUUAGAUACCCUGGUAGUCCACGCCCUAAAACGAUGUCAACUAGUUGUUGGGGAUUCAUUUCCUUAGUAACGUAGCU
rnacentral:rRNA from 1 species